GCCCUCUUGCCUCAUAAGAGGUCCAGCCUGCCCAGUGACCUAGUUCAACGGCCGCGGUAUCCUAACCGUGCGAAGGUAGCGUAAUCACUUGUCUUCUAAAUAAAGACUAGUAUGAAAGACACCACGAGAACUUAACUGUCUCCCUUUUCUAAUCAGUGAAACUAAUCUCCCCGUGAAGAAGCGGGGAUCUUCAAAUUAGACGAGAAGACCCUAUGGAGCUUUAAACACUAACCACUUGCCCGCACAUUAAUUACCCAGGUUUCCUCAAUCAACGCAAUAUGAUUACGUGUUUUUGGUUGGGGUGACCGCGGAAAAUAACUAAACUUCCACAAUGAUAACCAUCCAAACUACAAGCUACAGCUUUAAGUAUCAACAAAUUGACAUUCAUUGACCCAAUAUAUUGAUUAAUGAACCAAGUUACCCUAGGGAUAACAGCGCAAUCCACUUCAAGAGUCCCUAUCGACAAGUGGGCUUACGACCUCGAUGUUGGAUCAGGGUAUCCUAGUGGUGCAGCCGCUACUAAUGGUUCGUUUGUUCAACGAUUAAAACCCCACGUGAUCUGAGUUCAGACGGGGUCAUACUUGUUUUCCUGA
rnacentral:rRNA from 1 species